AGGGAAUCUUCCACAAUGGACGCAAGUCUGAUGGAGCAACGCCGCGUGAGUGAAGAAGGUCUUCGGAUCGUAAAGCUCUGUUGUUGGUGAAGAAGGAUAGAGGCAGUAACUGGUCUUUAUUUGACGGUAAUCAACCAGAAAGUCACGGCUAACUACGUGCCAGCAGCCGCGGUAAUACGUAGGUGGCAAGCGUUGUCCGGAUUUAUUGGGCGUAAAGCGAGCGCAGGCGGAAUGAUAAGUCUGAUGUGAAAGCCCACGGCUCAACCGUGGAACUGCAUCGGAAACUGUCAUUCUUGAGUGCAGAAGAGGAGAGUGGAACUCCAUGUGUAGCGGUGGAAUGCGUAGAUAUAUGGAAGAACACCAGUGGCGAAGGCGGCUCUCUGGUCUGCAACUGACGCUGAGGCUCGAAAGCAUGGGUAGCGAACAGGAUUAGAUACCCUGGUAGUCCAUGCCGUAAACGAUGAGCGCUAGGUGUUGGGGACUUUCCGGUCCUCAGUGCCGCAGCAAACGCAUUAAGCGCUCCGCCUGGGGAGUACGACCGCAAGGUU
rnacentral:rRNA from 1 species